rnacentral:rRNA from 1 species
GAUGAACGCUGGCGGCGUGCCUAAUACAUGCAAGUCGAGCGAACAGACGAGGAGCUUGCUCCUUUGACGUUAGCGGCGGACGGGUGAGUAACACGUAGGUAACCUACCUAUAAGACUGGGAUAACUUCGGGAAACCGGAGCUAAUACCGGAUAAUAUUUCGAACCGCAUGGUUCGAUAGUGAAAGAUGGCUUUGCUAUCACUUAUAGAUGGACCUGCGCCGUAUUAGCUAGUUGGUAAGGUAACGGCUUACCAAGGCAACGAUACGUAGCCGACCUGAGAGGGUGAUCGGCCACACUGGAACUGAGACACGGUCCACACUCCUACGGGAGGCAGCAGUAGGGAAUCUUCCGCAAUGGGCGAAAGCCUGACGGAGCAACGCCGCGUGAGUAAUGAAGGUCUUCGGAUCGUAAAACUCUGUUAUUAGGGAAGAACAAACGUGUAAGUAACUGUGCACGUCUUGACGGUGCCUAAUCAGAAAGCCACGGCUAACUACGUG